UUAUCAGCUGAUUGGUCCCCAGUCCCACGGUGUGCUGGUGUGUGUCCGUGGAAACCCUCACCUCAGUGCCCUCUCCUGGAGCCGUGCCGCUGCCCUUCUCUGACUUUGGCGGCUCAGGACGUGGAUCGCCUUAGAGUGGGUGUACUCCGUGUACUGGUUUGUGUUUGUUGAGCCUCUGGCGGGGGCGGGUUUCAUGUUUGUUCACUGGUCUGUAAUUCACACACUUCUUCUAGACUCUUCUAUCGACGGUCUGGCCUGGAGCGGACUCAAAGGGCUUCUGACCUCGCUUGUAAAGAAAAUGGAGAAAGAUUUAGGGAGAGAGCGCGCAGGGUGCUAGGGGAAGCAGCUCGCUGUGCAGCUGCUCUGGAUGCCUUUGGAUUACAUCAGAGUGGCUGAGAAAACAAGAGGCAGCGAGAGGGAGAGAGGAGCUCGAGUGAACCCGUCGCAGUGACACCUCCAGGGUGGCCUUCACCAAGUCAGUCACUACAAAAAAACACUGCUGGUAACGAGACCAUGUUCUCAGGGGCUCUGGUGGUGUUGCUGGUGGUCCUCAUCAUGUGCAGGAGGGUCAUAUGGCACGGGAUCUGCCUGCUGAUUGGUCGGAUGUUGUUUAACGAGCCUGUGAGGGAUAAACAAAAAACUAAUAAAGUUUUGUGAGACCAACG